AAAUAAUGAUCGUCAACCUAAGGGAACGCCGCCGCACCCGGCGGGUGCGACCAGGUCCACAUGAACAGCCAAACUUGGAACUGCGCGCAAGGAAGCGCGUUUUGGUAAGUGUAAGCGAUGAAAAAAAGACUUGGAUCCUGCUGGUUUGCGACGGCUCGGGGAAGUGCGUGCUAUAUCAAGCUACUGUGCGGAGCUACCCUGGACAUGAGGAGGCGCCUCUUCAGUGAUCGGCACCAGCACCUCGUGGGAGCGCCGCUGGUGCGGGCCUCUAGCCGCCACAAUAUCACCCGUAUGGAACGUCAAAGAGUACCUGUUCCAAAUUUGGUGGCGGCGCCCACACCGGGGGCCUUGGAAAGCAGCUCCCGGCGUACAACCGAAGAAAGGCAUGUAUUUAUCCUCUCUUUCCUUUCUCUAUAUAUUUAUAUAGUAUAUGUCUUAUGUAUAUAAAAAACACAUUCCCCUUCAUCGCGAAAUGGUUAAACAGACAUUCACACGACGUACAAUCUUUCUGGUUAGGUAACUGUGUGCUUAUUUUUUUUUUCUUCUUAACUUAGCUCUAAGCGC